AUGCUAAGACGACGAAAGCAGCAACAAGGAUCAAUGAACAAUAUGACCACAAUAAAGCCGCAGAACAAGGAGGAAAUGUCAACGAGGCAUGGCGGUGCUAGUGAUUCGCUACGACUAGUUCAGAACCGCCGGUUCACAUAUAAGGAACUCGAGAUGAUAACCAAUGGCUUCGAGCGGGUGCUUGCCCAAGGAGGAUUUGGCCGCGUCUAUGAUGGCUUCCUGGAGGAUGGUACUCAAGUGGCGGUGAAGUUGCGGUCGCAUUCCUCCAAACAAGGCGUCAAUGAGUUCCUCACGGAGGCUCAGAUUCUAAACCGGAUUCAUCACAAGAAUCUUGUGACUAUGAUUGGUUAUUGCAAGGAUGGGGAGUAUAUGGCGCUUGUGUAUGAGUACAUGUCACAAGGAACCCUGCAAGAGCACAUUGCAGGAAGCGAUCGAAGUUUACCUUGGAGGCAGAGGCUUCGGAUUGCACUUGAAUAUGCACAAGGGUUGGAGUAUCUGCACAAGGGGUGCAACCCGCCUCUUAUCCAUCGGGAUGUCAAGGCCACCAACAUCUUAUUGAAUGCUAGACUAGAGGCCAAGAUCGCAGAUUUUGGCUUGUCCAAGGCCUUCAAUAACCACGAUGGAAAUUACGUUUCAACAAAUACAAUUGUUGGUACACCUGGAUAUGUUGAUCCAGAAUACCAGGCGACAGUGCAACCCACGACCAAGAGCGAUGUCUACAGCUUUGGUGUGGUAUUGCUAGAGCUGGUCACCGGGAAGCCGGCCCUCCUCUCAGAGAUGGAACCCAUGAACAUUAUUCAUUGGGUGCGACAACGGCUAGCGAGAGGCAACAUGGAGGAUGUGGUGGAUGUACGAAUGCAUGGUGGUUGCAAUGUCAAUGUCGUUUCGAAGGUGGCGGAAAUCGCACUCAAUUGCACCGCGCUGGCAUCAGCCCAGCGGCCCACCAUGGCCGACGUUGUGGUGCAACUACAGGAGUGCAUGGAGCUCGAUGAGGGCCGCACCCGUGACUUCAACACCGACGACAGCAACAAUGAUGACUCGAGCUGGAAUUAUAAUGCUUAUGCCAGUGGGCAAUCCACUGAUGUGAGCAGGAAUGCUGCAUUUGGGACGGAACUGAGGAUGCCAACGGUGGGUCUCCGUCUAGCUCCUACUACACGUUGA
rnacentral:rRNA from 1 species